rnacentral:rRNA from 1 species
AACGAACGCUGGCGGCAGGCUUAACACAUGCAAGUCGAGCGCCCCGCAAGGGGAGCGGCAGACGGGUGAGUAACGCGUGGGAAUCUACCCAUCUCUACGGAAUAACGCAUGGAAACGUGUGCUAAUCCCGUAUACGUCCUUCGGGAGAAAGAUUUAUCGGAGAUGGAUGAGCCCGCGUUGGAUUAGCUAGUUGGUGGGGUAAAGGCCUACCAAGGCGACGAUCCAUAGCUGGUCUGAGAGGAUGAUCAGCCACACUGGGACUGAGACACGGCCCAGACUCCUACGGGAGGCAGCAGUGGGGAAUAUUGGACAAUGGGCGCAAGCCUGAUCCAGCCAUGCCGCGUGAGUGAUGAAGGCCCUAGGGUUGUAAAGCUCUUUCACCAGUGAAGAUAAUGACGGUAACCGGAGAAGAAGCCCCGGCUAACUUCGUGCCAGCCGCCGCAGUAAGAC